AGCAGAAAAUGCCAUGGCCCAGGGCACAGUGGUGUCUGACUUUUACUCACCUGUGCUGCUUUCUCCUUCCAGAUGUUCCCAGGAUCAUGUUAGAGACCAGGUGUAGUCAUGUCACACCCUGCACCUGGGUGUGGCUGUGUGUCCAGUUCUCACCAACUGAAUAAUAAUGAACCAACAAGAGCGAAGAACAAGUCAAAGAAAAUGGCAAAGAAGAUAUUUCUUUGGGAAAGUGAAGAAUCAUCCCUCAGCCAUCCCACUUCUCUUAUUUAUGUCACCUGUCUAAGCCUCCAAAAGUAUGUGCAUUUUGGACUCCUGGCCUAAGGAUUCAUGUGGAUAAAUGACUAACAAAUGGGCGGAGGUCCCCAUAAAAGCACUUUUCUUUUCUGGAGGCUAUUCCUGAUUGGAGUCAGGAGUUCUAUCCUGAGUUAGAGGUGCCUUACUCAGACUCUUGCUUGCGUGAGUGUGGUAUGAUCCAUUCCUUCAGGUUGGCCUCUCGGAUGGGUGCCUACUGUGGCCAUGCCACCAUGCCAGAGGACUGGGUGGGCAUGGGCAUGAGGGUGCAACAGUGACUGAGGUCUCUACUCUCCAGAGGCAAAAAAUAAACCUCAAGGAAGGCUUGAGCCACCAGGGGUCUGACUAAAUAGUGAUCCUAUCAGCCUUAUUUUUUUAAUUUUUAGUUGACAUGUAGUAAUUGUACAUAUUUAUGGGAUACAGAAUAGUAUUUCAACACAUGUAAACAAUGUGUAGUAUUCAAAUCAGGGUAAUUAGUGUAUUUCUCACCUGAAACAUUUAUUAUUUUUUUCUGUUCAGUACCUUCAAAAUCCUUCCUUCUGGCUACUGGAAAACAUAAAGUAAAUUGUUAACUAUAGUCAUCCUACAAUGCUAUAGAACAUUAUAACUUAUUCCUCCUGCCUUGCUGUCAUUUUUUAUCAGUUAACCAACAUCUACUGUCUCCCCGCCUCCUUUCCCCAUGCUCCUGUGACCACUAUUCUACUCUCUGCUUCUAUGAGAUCAA